CACCUUGGUAGAGAUCAUAUGUCUUUUAAAUUUAGAAAAGACCUUAUUGAAGAGCGGCAAAGAGAAGACACCAAAUAUAAGCUAGAUAGAGGAGAUCCUGUUUUGGAUGAGGAAUUUCAGCGCAUCAAGACAGAAGUCAACCAGAAACGGGUUGUUCACAAUCUAGAAGAAAAAAUCAAGGAAUUCCAUCCUAAUUUUGAUCCACUCAUUAAUAAUACCUGGGUCAACAGGUUCAGGGCACAAAAGCGC